AGAUAGGAAUAUAACUUACGAAGAGGAACCAUCGAGAAAAGCCCAAGAAAGCUAACAACAAAAAAGAAACCCUAUCAUCCAUCCCAAAGAGGGGUUCUUAAUAUUAGCUGCAUUAUUAGCUUCAACUGUCUGUUCGGCAACAACUUCACUCGUGCCAAACAGAUAGCUCCCGAAACCUCAUGAUCAUCCAAAGUAACAUAAACAAAAAUCAAGUAAGAGUAAUUGAAUUUGAGAUGUUACUAUCAUUCUUAAGAAGAAAUCUAGGAAACAUUUACACAUCUUUUCAAAUAAAGGUAUGGAAGAAAAAUGGUGAAUAAUAAGACGUAGAGAGGGGAUACAAUCUUAUGUUUCGCAAAAGCAGGACUACAAAGAUUCCUCUCUCACUGCAGCUCUUUGUCCCUUCCCUCCACUAAUAUACCCCUAUUAUUUCAAAAUGUAUUUUACAAGUUAAGAAAAUAACAAACUAUCUGGAUAUUAAUAGCGGUCGACCAUUGUAAUGGACCCAAAAUAAAUGUGUCCAUCAAGAAUAAAAUGCAUGGAGUAAAAAGAAUGUAGAUACUACCAUCAUAUUUCCUCUUUGAUUUUAUAAAGUAAAGAUACUAACCACUUAAAAUAUCAUUCUGGCUCAUUAGCGAAAACAUAAAUGACCAAGAAUCAUUGCUCAUUUCAAAUGCAAGCGCAAUAUUUAAUAUAAACAGCUUCACAUUUUGGUUCACUCGACUCUCCUGUCUUGAGUAACAUUAUGAGAAACUUAACCUUGUGGUUCGAUUUAAAGCAUGCCCCUCUUUUUUGGUGGCAUCUAGCUAAGUAGAAUCUCUAUUCUCAAAAUAGAAUAACAUUUUUUUGGUAUAGUGCACAAAGCAUGUGUGUGCAUUCAUUGGCAUAUGAAACUCGAUUACAAGGAAUAUUGGAGAGUGAAGAUUACUAUAACAAACUUCAAUUACCGAAUAAAUUAUACACAAUGGAACUUAGUUGUCCAACAUCUAAACUUUGAUAACCUCACUAUGUCAUUCAGCUUUAAUUACAAGUCAAUGACUCCUUAUGGAGCAAUUAGUAAGUCCUCAAUCUGAUUGUAAAUACUCUGACCUUUAGUUGCUAUUAUUUCAUUUGUGAAUCAGAUAAAGUAGCAGUUUCUCUGUCCGACUGAUAAUAUUCUCGCUGUAUCUUUUUUCACAUAGAGUAAGAAAAGUUGAAGUAAUCCAUGUUUAUCUAUUAUCUCUUUAUAAAAGAAGAAGGCUUUAUAGGAGCUGUUUGAAGGCACCUAAAGUUGGAAGGUAAUUUUGGAGUGAAAACAUCUAGUUUUAGAAUGUGAGUAUUUGUGGAAUAUACUAAAAAGGAUCUACUUCUACUUUAGUUAUUUAAUCUACAACUGACAUUACUUUGGGUUGUUACUACACUCAAUUUUUUGAUACCUGAAUAUACUUAGAGGAUCAGCUGAGAUUUUGAAAAUGAUAUGACUAACAUUAUGGAUGUUUUUGCAGAUGACACUAUUAUGCUGAGGGGUGUGAAAUUCUACAAUGAUCUAUUCAUGCAGUGAGAGCUGAUUCAUCGGCUAGAAGAUUACAUAAGAACUUUGAGCUUCAAAAAUUUGUAAAUAUGGAAUGAGGGUAAAUGCAUUGUAAAGAACGAAUUCACACAUAUCUAUCAACUCCCUUUGUAUAACAUUUAAACUUUUCCUAAGUAAGUGUUUAAGUUCCCUCUUUAUUCAAUUUGAAUCUCCCUUUAAACAUAGUCGUUAUCAUAUAUUCUGGACUUUCCAGAGCACAAACUCAAUUCUGAUUCCUAAUAGUAUCGGACUUUCGUCUAAUCUAAAUUUCAUACCACGCGUCAUAAUUUCUGCUAAUAAGACGUAAAACUCUAUCCAAACUCAUGUAUAACUAGAUAGAAGAGCCAUAUCAACAAUAUAUGUAUACAUGUGUUUUUAUUUAUAUUUUUUAUUUUUUUGUGAGGUCGAAAGAAAUUGAUCUUUGUCUAGUGAGAUGUAGAUAGCUAUAAUUUAAAAGAAUUUCUAGUGGUAGGGGUAUGACUUCCUUCCUAUAGCAAUGUAAGGAAUAGAAAAGGUUUUUUUUCCGGUUGUUCUUUCUAUUCGUGCAAUUUAUAUGGUACUUUAUCUUAUAAUCAUGUUAACUUUUAUUCAUGAUUGAUUUAACUUUCAUUUAUCAUUAAGACUACAAGGAUCUAAAAAGGAGCCUAAAAUUGGAAUAAGAAAAAUAGAGAUGGAAGUAAACAUUAUAAAAUGUUGAGAAAGCUUAUCAAAAACUCAUCACGAAAUCUAUAAGUAGGUCAUUUAGAUCUAAAGGAGGAGGUGAAAGACGAAUGUUAGAGUACUGACAAUUGAUGUUAUAUUUAUUCGCAAAUACAGAGCUUCCUUCUUACACUUGGAUAACUCAUGAACCAUCAAUUUGCUUUACAACUCAUUUCUGCAC
rnacentral:lncRNA from 1 species